rnacentral:rRNA from 1 species
UACGUAGGGUGCGAGCGUUGUCCGGAAUUAUUGGGCGUAAAGAGCUCGUAGGCGGUGUGUCACGUCGAUCGUGAAAACUUGGGGCUUAACCCUGAGCUUGCGGUCGAUACGGGCAUCACUGGAGUUCGGCAGGGGAGACUGGAAUCCCUGGUGUAGCGGUGAAAUGCGCAGAUAUCAGGAGGAACACCGGUGGCGAAGGCGGGUCUCUGGGCCGAUACUGACGCUGAGGAGCGAAAGCGUGGGGAGCGAACAGG